CUCCUCCUAUUUCUUCAAAUCUAAUUCUUCUAUUUUGUGUCUGUAACCACUUCCUUCCUGACUGCUCCAGAAUCUUUUUGACUUUUUUUAAUGACUGCUUCAUAAAUUUUUCUGAUCUACAUAUAAUAUUGAUUACUCUUUAUUACCCUUCUUUUGAAAUCCUCUCUUGAGUUCUGGAAAUUCAAAGUUUCUGGUAGUCCUACCUCUCUUAAAGCCUAUUGUGUGUGUCUUUCCUACUUCCAUCUACUAGGUUGGCAUUUCUCAAGGUCCUGUUUUUGGUCCUUUUGCUUGCCUUCUCUAAACUUUCUAGACAUUGCAGUAUCUGAAUUGCUCUCCAUUCUGCUGAAUCUAUUUUCAACAUGUCUUUGUCCAUCUGAGCCACCAGCAUCUCCCACUUUGUACAACUAAAAAUGAAGCCAUUGUCAUUUUCAUCUUUCUAGCACACGGACCAAGGAAAAGCUUUGUUCCUACCCCAUCUUUCAUGUACCCACUUCUUACCCUCCACUCCCCAUAGGUAACUACCUCUUUCAUUUAUUUUUUUGAAUAUCUUUUCAGAGUUUCUUUAAAUAAUAUAAGCAACUUUAAGUAUAUACUCUUAUUCCCCCACAACUUUUAUAACACAAGGUAACACUCUAUACAUACUUUUAUGUCUUGAGUUUCUCACUAAAAAUAUCUUAGAUGAGGAUAAUGUCUGUCCUACCUGCCAGGUUCACAGGAUCAUUUCAGAAUCAACUUGAGGAUACAAAAAUUCUGAACUGAUUUACAAAGGCUCGGGAUCAUUAUGCAUAAGCGCACUCUGCAGUUGAGCUGACGGAAGCCCUGUAGAUCUGUCUCACCUAUUCUCUUUGCUCUCUCUGCAGUUAAUCAGGAUGUGCUCUCAUGGAGAAGGCAAGAUUAACUACUAUAACUUUGUUCGUGCUUUCUCAAACUGACCUGCUGAUGAGAAAAUGCAAGACAAUUUUUGAUAUUGGAACUGUGCUUUGAAAUACACCUUACACUCUUCAUAGAGGCAUUUACAGAGUUCCUGAAGUUUUAUUUCUGUUUUGGUUCUUAUUUCACUCCUACUGAAGUCGAAACUAAAUUGGAUCUAAUAGGAUCUAAGAUUGGUGCCUUAUUUAGGGUGAUAGGGGUAUAGCAGUGUCUAAUUUUGUGUGUCAAAUUGACUUGGCCACAGGGGGCCCAAAUAUUUCCUUUCUUUCUUUUUUAAAAAAUAUUUUAAAUUUUUUUAGAGAUGGGAUCUCACUGUCAUACAGGCUGGAGUGUGGUGGCACUAUCCUAGUUCUAUGAAGCCUCAGACUUCUGGGCUCAAGUGAUCCUCCCACUUCAACCUCCCCAGUAGCUGGGACAACAGGCUCAAGCCACCAUGCCCAGCUAAUUUUUAAAAUUAUUUUGUAGAGACAAGGUCUCGCUAUGUUGCCUGAACUUGUCUCAAACUCAUGAGCUCCAGAAAUUCUCCCACCUCAGCCUCCAAAAUUGCUGGGAUUAUAGGCAUGAGCCACUGUGCCCAGCCUCAGAUAUUUCAUUAUUCUGGGGGUUUCUCUGAAGGUAUUUUUGGAUGAGAUAAACAUUUGAAUCAGAAGACUAAGUAAAACAGAUAGUCCUCCCUAAUGUGGGUGGGCCUCCUCCAAUCAUUUGAAGACAUGAGUAGAAUAAAAAGGCUGACCUUUCCCCAGGUAAGAGAAUUCCUCCUGCCUGACUGGCUUCAAAUUGGAACAUCAGCCUUUUCUUGCCUUCAGACACAAAUGGAAACAUCAGCUGUUG
rnacentral:lncRNA from 1 species